UGCGCAGGCGGGCUUGUAAGUCAGUGGUGAAAUACUGCCGCUCAACGGUAGAACUGCCAUUGAUACUGCAAGUCUUGAAUAUGGUUGAGGUAGGCGGAAUGUGUCGUGUAGCGGUGAAAUGCAUAGAUAUGACACAGAACGCCAAUUGCGAAGGCAGCUUACUAAGCCAUUAUUGACGCUGAGGCACGAAGGCGUGGGGAGCAAACAGGAUUAGAUACCCUGGUAGUCC
rnacentral:rRNA from 1 species